AGGCAGAAGACCGUCGCGCAGGCGCACUGCCUUCCCAAUCCCAGGCGGUGUGGCCUUACCCGGUACCCAGCGCGCUUGCUGAAGGACACCAUAGGAGGGAAUGGCUGCUGUGUCUCCACCUACUAGAUGCCAGCCUUCUGUGACAUUUGAGGAUGUGGCCGUGACUUUCACAGAUGAAGAGUGGAGGCAUCUGCUUCCUGUGCAGAGGGCGCUCUACAAGACUGUGAUGCUGGAAAACUAUGAGAACAUCAUCUCACUGGGUAAGGAGUCAGAACACAAGGGCAGGGGAUUUCCACCUCUUUGACCCCCACCUGAGUUCAGAACCACCUGACAGACAAAAGUGCCAAAGGAGGUGGCUUUAGAUGCUUAGCUAGUGACCCUAGCCCUGGACAGCUGGACUACC